ACUCUAACUAACUCUCAUAUUUUUCUCUUUCAUUUAGCUCUAAUUUUUCUCGUGGAAUCUUGCUUAAAUGUCGUGUCAUGUUUUCUGAAUAAUAUAUUUGCAACCCACAACUUGCUGAUACAGAUGGAUCAUCAAUAGUACCCCUAUCAAGACUUGGGUCCUGAAUAAACAAGACUUGCAGGAGUGCAAUUAUGUUGGGAGAUGCAUUGUUUCUUCAGAAUGUUCUCUCAUUGUUAGGAGUUGAAGCAGACUUCAUUGUGUUUUCGAGUGUGUGGAAGAUUGCAUUUCAGGAAAUAUCUGUGUUGGAACUGCAUUUGAUGCAACAUCAAAAUACAGCCAUUCAGAUGAUAUGCAUGCUUUCCCAGCAAUCUUUGGCUUUAAAGGAGAGACUCUGAGCUCUAUCUCUGACGUUUCUUUGUUGGAAAUUGUUACUAAUACUCACAGGAAGCCAAUUGGAUAUCGUAAGGUUUUGAAGGAUGGCAAGUGUUUGUACCUUGGAAUUGAUCAUUUUGCCUUAUAGUAUGUUCUAUAGCAUGCUGCAGAUGAGCGAAUUCGUUUGGAAGAACUGCGUGAGAAGGAAAUGAUUGUCUAAAAAUUCAUUGAAGUGUCAUUUCAACUUGGAGUCUGUAACUUAUUGAAUUAUCAGGUCCUAUUGGAAAGAAUGAGGACAACAAUGAGCAAGAAUUGGUACAAUUAUUUUGAUAAUAGGUAACAUUGAUUUUAAGUCUUGUGGGGAUGUCUUGAAACUCUUCAUAAUAGGUAACAUUGAUUUUUGAGUAUUUGACCAUGUUUAUGCUGACCAAAUUCAAAACUGGGGUUGGAUCUGCAACAAUCAUUCUCAAACUUCAAGAUCAU